rnacentral:rRNA from 1 species
GAUGAACGCUGGCGGCGUGCCUAACACAUGCAAGUCGAACGGCACCUGCCUUCGGGCAGAAGCGAGUGGCGAACGGCUGAGUAACACGUGGAGAACCUGCCCCCUCCCCCGGGAUAGCCGCCCGAAAGGACGGGUAAUACCGGAUACCCCGGGGUGCCGCAUGGCGCCCCGGCUAAAGCCCCGACGGGAGGGGAUGGCUCCGCGGCCCAUCAGGUAGACGGCGGGGUGACGGCCCACCGUGCCGACAACGGGUAGCCGGGUUGAGAGACCGACCGGCCAGAUUGGGACUGAGACACGGCCCAG